rnacentral:rRNA from 1 species
UACGGAAGGCAGCAGUGGGGAAUAUUGCACAAUGGGCGCAAGCCUGAUGCAGCCAUGCCGCGUGUAUGAAGAAGGCCUUCGGGUUGUAAAGUACUUUCAGUCGUGAGGAAGGUGUUAAGGUUAAUAACCUUAGCAAUUGACGUUAGCGACAGAAGAAGCACCGGCUAACUCCGUGCCAGCAGCCGCGGUAAUACGGAGGGUGCAAGCGUUAAUCGGAAUUACUGGGCGUAAAGGGCACGCAGGCGGUUAAUUAAGUUGGAUGUGAAAUCCCCGGGCUUAACCUGGGAAUGGCAUUCAAGACUGGUUAGCUAGAGUCUUGUAGAGGGGGUAGAAUUCCAUGUGUAGCGGUGAAAUGCGUAGAGAUGUGGAGGAAUACCGGUGCGAAGGCGGCCCCUGGGACAAGACUGACGCUCAUGUGCGAAAGCGUGGGGAGCAAACAGGGAUUAGAUACC